rnacentral:misc_RNA from 1 species
GAUGAAGAACGUAGCGAAAUGCGAUAAGUAAUGUGAAUUGCAGAAUUCAGUGAAUCAUCGAAUCUUUGAACGCACAUUGCGCCCUUUGGUAUUCCGAAGGGCAUGCCUGUUCGAGCGUCAUUUCACCACUCAAGCCUGGCUUGGUAUUGGGCGCCGCGGUCGAUCCGCGCGCCUCAAAGUCUCCGGCUGAGCUGUCCGUCUCUAAGCGUUGUGAUUUCAUUAAUCGCUUCGGAGUGCGGGCGGCUGCGGCCGUUAAAUCUUUCACAAGGUUGACCUCGGAUCAGGUAGGGAUACCCGCUGAACUUAAGCAUAUCAAUAAGCGGAGGA